ACCAGACUCCUACGGGAGGCAGCAGUGGGGGAUAUUGCACAAUGGGGGGAACCCUGAUGCAGCGACGCCGCGUGGGUGAAGAAGCGCCUCGGCGCGUAAAGCCCUUUCAGCAGGGAAGAAAAUGACGGUACCUGAAGAAGAAGCCCCGGCUAACUACGUGCCAGCAGCCGCGGUAAUACGUAGGGGGCAAGCGUUAUCCGGAUUUACUGGGUGUAAAGGGGGCGCAGACGGCGAUGCAAGCCAGGAGUGAAAGCCCGGGGCCCAACCCCGGGACUGCUCUUGGAACUGCGUGGCUGGAGUGCAGGAGGGGCAGGCGGAAUUCCUGGUGUAGCGGUGAAAUGCGUAGAUAUCAGGAGGAACACCGGUGGCGAAGGCGGCCUGCUGGACUGCAACUGACGUUGAGGCCCGAAAGCGUGGGGAGCGAACGGGAUUAGAUACCCGAGUAUA
rnacentral:rRNA from 1 species